AACGAACGCUGGCGGUAUGCUUAACACAUGCAAGUCGAACGGACUUCAGCCUUCGGGCGAAAAGUUAGUGGCGAACGGGUGAGUAAUGCAGAGGAAUCUACCUAGCAGUAAGGAAUAACCCUGGGAAACCAGAGCUAAUACCAUAUAUUACCGCCAAGGGAAACUUUGGCGGGAAAGAUUUAUCGCUGUUAGAUGAGCCUCUGUCGGAUUAGCUUGUUGGUAGGGUAAUGGCCUACCAAGGCGAUGAUCCGUAGCUGGUCUGAGAGGAUGAUCAGCCACACUGGAACUUAGACACGGUCCAG
rnacentral:rRNA from 1 species